ensembl:snRNA U6 U6 spliceosomal RNA
GUAUUUAUUUUGGCAACAUAUAUACUAACAUUAGAACAGUGCAGAGAUGACUACUAUGGAUCCUGUACAAGGAUUGCCUCAAAAUUUAUGAGGCAUUCCAUUUUUCU